rnacentral:rRNA from 1 species
GCCCGCCGCCGCGGUAAUACGGAGGGUGCAAGCGUUAAUCAUAAUUACUGGGCGUAAAGCGUGCGUAGGCGGUUUAUUAUGUCAGAUGUGAACGCCCCGGGCUUAACCUGGGAGCUGCAUUUGAAACUGGUCAGCUAGAGUAUGGGAGAGGAAAGUGGAAUUUCUGGUGUAGCGGUAGUACUGCGGUAAAUAUCAAAAAGAACAUCAUGUGGCGAACGCUGCUUUCUGGACCAAUACUGACGCUGAGGUACGAAAGCGUGGGUAGAAAACAUGAUGAGAUACCCUGGUACUCCACGCCGUAAACGAUGAUAACUA